UUGCCCUACCGUUUUAUAAUAGAUCUAUCCCGUGACCUACUUUUCUUCAAAUUGCUAAUGUGUGACAUAAUGUAACAAAAUGAUACCAUCUAUCCAAAGGUUGUUUUCAUCAAAACAAUACUUACAUUAUGAAAUGAUAUGUAACAAUCAUCCAAACAAGGUGUGCAGGUACCCCGACUUUUUUACUUUUCCUCUUCCAACUGGUUCUUUACUAUUCUGGAGCCUUGAGAGUCUGCCGUUUAAGUUCUGGUUUGUUUCAUCCUGAUGCCUCUUCGCACCAUUGGCGAUUGUGAAGGGACUCAGGGAGACGUACGCGAGCGGGGAGACGAAGGAGUACGUGUGGAGAGUGUCACAGUUGAAAGAUCUGUUGAAGAUUGCUGAGCAUCACGAGAAGGAGAUGGUCGAUGCUAUUAAUUAGAGCCGAGAUGUCUAAGCCUGAACUUGAAUCCUUUCCUCCAAACAUACAGUCUAAUGAAUUGCUUUCUUUUCUUCUUGAUUUACAGCUUUUCUUCAACUUUUUUAGUUGCGGAUAUAUACUACUGAUGGUUAUGCUGGUAUGUUUUGUUUCAUCUUCUGAGUUUCAAGUUUCACUUUAUGUAGUGGUAAUUGCAUGUUCUUGUGUGUGUUCAGCAUUUCAGACUUCUCUGAGUAUCGCUCUUUUAUUAACUUCAUUUUUUUCCCUUAGCUUCUUCGCAUUGAGGAGACGUCAACUUCCUAAAAAUCCAUGCCCUCUUUUGAAUGGCGCAUCAAGUUUUGUUUGAUCAUUUUUGAAAUAUCAGUCUCUCUGUUUAGAAUAGUCUUAUUGUUUACUAAUAGGUUUCUUCUAUUUAUUAAUCACCUUGAUCAUAUCUAAUCUUAUUUACUACUCUUGGUUUGCUGGUUGGAUUAAUGGGUAACAAGUAACAACUUUCCCAGCAGUAAGAAGAAGAAUGUUUGAACUCUUCUUCUACACUAUUUAUACAUCCUAUUCAUGGCUUUCUUCCUACUCCACACUAGAAUGUUCGAUGCCUGCAUUAUGCUUCCUGGUUUCUUCCUCUUCUUGAUCGAUCGAUACUUGAGAUUUUUGCAAUCCAAACAAAAUGUAUAUCUGAUUUCAGCCAGAGUUUUGACUUGUGAAAUUGUUGAACUCAACUUCUCCAAAAUACCAAGUUAGCCAGCCUACAAUUCUGCCUUUUAUUUCCAGGUAACUUGUUAUCUCACUUUUUAUGGAUGAUUACUUCUUGUUCUAAUUUGUAGGUUUGGAGUACUCUCCGACAAGCGUCAUGUUCCUAAAUGUGCCAAGCAUAUUAAAGCUGCAGUUGGCAUCCAUUCACAGUAACUUAGAAUCAGAUACAAUUAGUGUCGUCAUCAAAUGUGAAGGAAGUUGGACUAAGAAGCUUUAUGAUGUUAUCUCUUUGCCUUCCUCUGUGGAUCACCUUGAAGUUUCUGUUGAAGGACCCUAUGGACAUCCUUCCACCCAUUUCCUAAGGAAUAUUGCUAGAAGUUAAUGUGUCAAGUGUUGGAGUACUUGCCUCUGGACCGAAGACCUUGAGGGACGAUGUAGCAGCCAUUUGCUCAUCUGCGUUGGUUGAAAAUCUGCACUUUGAGUCCAUCAGCUUCACCUAAUGAUUAACUCGGCUUCUCAACUCCGAGCUAGCUUAAAAAGACUCUGUCAGAAUGCAUCAGUAUCUAUACAUAGAUAUUAUGUCCUGUAAUAUGUUCCAGUCUUCUGAUUGGAUCGAUAUGCAUGUUUAAAUAGGUAUUGUGAGUAUGGUUCCCCGAGAUUACAUUACUUUUUGUCGAAUGCCAUAUGUAAGGUAUUGUAAGUAGUCUUUGGAAGAGGAAAUAAGGUUCAUGGUAUUUGAAUGAAACCUGUAUUUGUUUGAGAAGCUAGACUAAACUAUGACCAUCUCACACCCAACUUAUUACAUAUUGAUGUAUAAGCUAUAAACCAAACUAAAACUCUUUUUUUUUUUUUUUUUUUUUUUUUUAACAAGGUAAAACAAACAAAAACUCCAAGUGCUAUAACUUUUACUAUAAGACUAGGUCUUAAACUUCCAAGUUUCCCAGUCUUGUCUUCCAUCAACAAAUCCCAAUACCCUCCUGCAAUAACAUUUGGUGCUACGCCUCUUCCUUUCAUUGCAAAGCUUAACACAUCUUCUAAAAGUACAUGUGCAUUCUGCAGUACCUUAGAGAUACAAAGCCUACUUACUGUAUAUUACAAUCACAAGAAUCAAUCUGGGGUUAUGUGAGAUUCAAGAAUUCUGAAACAUGAAAUUUUCAGCUUUGUUUGUCCAUGUAAUGAAAUGCUCAAAAUCUACGUAUACUCUUUUAUCUUUCAGAAGAUCAAAAUCGUACAUCCAAGAGAUGCGCCUUUCAUUACAAUCACCACCCACACCCUCAAUGGAGCAGCUAAAAUCGGCACCAACUGUAAAUCAAGAACCACACCCUCAGUGAGGUCUCAGGUUCAAACCCAACACUAGUUGAUUUCUUCUCAUCUCUCUAAGCCUUGUGGACAGAUUUACCUGGUAUCUGUUGUUGCUGGUGGGAGGUGGCAAGUAUCUUGUGAAAUUAGUCGAGGUGCGUAUAAGCUGGGCCGGACACCACGAUUAUAAGAAAAAAAAAAUGGAAAACGUGAUGCAGUAGUGCACAAAAUCUUCUAUGUUCUCUAUUUAUCCCAAUAUAGUGGGAAAUAUUUAUGCUGAUUUCAAGUUGGCAGCAGAAGAUCUCACUGGAAGCUCUUUAACCAUUUCUAGCAAAGUUGUUAACGGGCUCUUUGCAUCCAGAUAGCUCAUAAGUGGAUGAAAGUUUUUCUUCCAAACUUUCAAGCAAGUCAUGGUAUUCGACAAAUGAUGGAUGGGUCUGAAGAUACAAAUGAAAACCACACAGAUGAAGUCAGUGUAACCAAGAAGUGCAAAUCAUGCUAAAAUAAAUCAAACAAGACCUGAGCAGAAAUAACAAAAGGAACCUGACCGUGUGAGUUACUUACAACUGACAAAAGCAAUUCUCAAAUAAGCAAGAGUUUUUGAAGUUUUCCCAAACGGGAACAUAAGCAAUAAAACUGAUGGAAAUUUUCAUUUAGUUAAGGAAACCUAUCUGUUAUCCUACAUUCAGUUAAGGGAAGUUAGCCAACCCUCAGACCGUGUGGCCAGUAGUACUACAAUCCACUCUUUGAAUUUGAGUCACUGACUUGGUACCCCCGUCAUGCCGAUUUUGAAAGGAAUUUGACCAAUUGAGAUGAGAAGUGAUAUGAUGUGGUAAAGAUUUUACCUUUACUGUUUUUCGUUGACUAUUUCCUUACUUUAAUUCACUAUUUGUAUUUGUU